UGGGGAAUUUUGGACAAUGGGCGCAAGCCUGAUCCAGCCAUGCCGCGUGCGGGAAGAAGGCCUUCGGGUUGUAAACCGCUUUUGUCAGGGAAGAAAUCUUCUGAGUUAAUACCUCGGGAGGAUGACGGUACCUGAAGAAUAAGCACCGGCUAACUACGUGCCAGCAGCCGCGGUAAUACGUAGGGUGCAAGCGUUAAUCGGAAUUACCGGCGUAAAGCGUGCGCAGGCGGUUUUGUAAGACAGAGGUGAAAUCCCCGGGCUCAACCUGGGAACUGCCUUUGUGACUGCAAGGCUUGAGUGCGGCAGAGGGGAUGGAAUUCCGCGUGUAGCAGUGAAAUGCGUAGAUAUGCGGAGGAACACCGAUGGCGAAGGCAAUCCCCUGGGCCUGCACUGACGCUCAUGCNCGAAAGCGUGGGGAGCAAACAGGAUU
rnacentral:rRNA from 1 species